rnacentral:rRNA from 1 species
CUCAGGAUGAACGCUAGCGGCAGGCUUAACACAUGCAAGUCGAGGGGUAUAGUAGCAAUACUAGAGACCGGCGCACGGGUGCGUAACGCGUAUGCAAUCUACCUUUUGCAGGGGAAUAGCCCAGAGAAAUUUGGAUUAAUGCCCCAUAGUAUAUAGACCUUGCAUGAGGAUUAUAUUAAAGUCACAACGGCAAAAGAUGAGCAUGCGUCCCAUUAGCUAGUUGGUAAGGUAACGGCUUACCAAGGCGACGAUGGGUAGGGGUCCUGAGAGGGAGAUCCCCCACACUGGUACUGAGACACGGACCAGACUCCUACGGGAGGCAGCAGUGAGGAAUAUUGGACAAUGGGCGCAAGCCUGAUCCAGCCAUGCCGCGUGCAGGACGAAGGCCUUCGGGUUGUAAACUGCUUUUGUACAGAACGAAAAGGUCUCUAUUAAUACUGGGGGCUCAUGACGGUACUGUAAGAAUAAGCACCGGCUAACUACGUG